UAAAACUAUAGUCUAAUUUAUGACAUAUGAUUUGCAUUCAUGAAGAGUUCAAUGAACUAGUUUU
rnacentral:tRNA from 1 species